rnacentral:lncRNA from 1 species
GUGUUUUUCUGUUUCAAUGAGGACCAUCUUUUUCAUCGUAUUAGGGAAAGAAUACCAAAGAACAGCAAUGGAAGGAUAAGACCAAAAAAGAUGGUCCUCAUUGAAACAGAAGGGUGCUGUGGCUUCCUACAUGAAUGCAUUCAAAAAUCGGGUCCUGAGGUUCUUUGUGGGGACCCGACCUUGGAACUGGGGACGGCGGUCGACGGGAUGACCAGCCGGGACCUCUUCCCGAGGUAUUGGAGGCACAGGAAAACAGCGGCCCCGAAUUAUGAACAGCCACAGGCCUCGGAUGCAUUUCGGCUGUCUUUUGCCCUCUUCAGUGUUGCCUGUGAGGAUCAUCAUAAUCAACAUGGGUGCUUAUUGGGACAUUCAUUUUUUACAUCUUUAA